rnacentral:sRNA from 1 species
GCUGGGCACAGUGGCGCAUGCCUGUAAUCCCAGUGGCUCAGGAGGCGGAGGCAGGAGGAUUGAGAGUUCAAAGCCAGCCUCAGCAAUUUAUCCAGGUGCUAAGCAACUCAGUGAGACCCUGUCUCUA